rnacentral:RNase_P_RNA from 1 species
CGAGCCGGCCGGGCGGCCGCGGCGAGGGGACGGGGCAACGCAUUGCCCGCGCCCGAGUCGAGGAAAGUCCGGACUCCGCAGCAGCAGGGUGGUUGUUAACGGCAACCCGGGGUGACCCGCGGGACAGUGCCACAGAAAACAGACCGCCCGUGCGUCUGACGCACGGGUAAGGGUGAAACGGUGCGGUAAGAGCGCACCAGCGACACGGGUGACCGCGUCGGCUAGGUAAACCCCACCCGGAGCAAGGCCGAAGCUCGCACCGCCGCAAGGCGGGUGCGCGUGCGCGAGUGUUUGAGGACUGCUCGUCCGAGCUCGCGGGUUGGCUGCUUGAGGCACCCGGCAACGGUGUGUCCAGAUGGAUGGUCGCCGCCGGUCUUCGGACCGGUACAGGAUCCGGCUUACGCGCCGGCUCGUUCG